rnacentral:lncRNA from 1 species
AUUAAAAGUAGCCCAUGCACAAAAAUAAAAAAACCCAACUCAAACCCCUAAACUUAGAUAUGUCUCUCUUACCCUCUCUCCCAAUCUGUAGUCUCUCUUUCUUUUAAGGGAAGCUGAGAAGGUUUACGGGUUCAUUCAUCCGGGUGGGAUCCAGAUUCCUUGUCGAAAGUCCGAAUUUGAGAAUGUUCUGAUGAAGAUCGCUGCCGCGUGCGGUGUUGACAGCCACCGCAGGAAGCGGAGUUGGAGGCAGGAGGCUGAAAUGACUCAUUGGCCCACAAUGAUUUUUGUUGAGGUAUGAGUGCAGCAUUGGCUCUCCCAUUGUUGGUGGCGGGGUCCGCCUCCACAUCAAUUGGUUGGAGUUUUUCCUCCGAUUUCCCUUUUUCUUAGUUUUAGAAAAAUUUGUACAAAUCUUUUCGCUCUGCUCAAACUUUAAUUUUUGAUUAUGCUUUGUUGAUAGAGUUUCAUGUCAAUUGCUUGAUUUGUUUAGUACAAUAUGGGCUUUUAUAAUUAUGCAAUUUACAUGAAAGACCACUUUUAAUCUAGUCCUGUUAUGAAUUUUUUGGUUGGCUUUCGCAUUUUGCUGGUUUUGAAUUCUAAAACGUAAAAAUCUGGACUCACUAUUCACUUGAAUUUUGUGAGUAGGACAUAUUAUGGUAAUUCAUGUAGUUUUUAAUGGACAAAUCUUGACUUAAUUAAUAUGGUGAGAUGCAGAGAAAUGUAAAAUGUGAAAUUUAUUUGAAAAAGAAUAAGCACAGAAAAAUAUUGGAAUGUGCUAAUUUUGAGACCAAUGUGCAUUACCUGUUAAGUAAGUGGUGAUGUGUUGAUCUGUUGAUGAUUCUAUAUAUAUAUAUAUAUAUAUAUAUAUAUAUAUAUAUAUUUCGAAAUGGUUGCUCCUAGUUUGUUUGUGUCAUCUACCAAAAAAUUUAUUGCAUUUUCUUAGAUUUCAGCCCCCUUAUCGAAAAUCCUAGAUCCGACCUUGAUGGUAGCAGUGAUAUGAAGUGAUGCGUAUAAUGUAUGACAUGGUAGCAGUGAUAUGUCAUUCAUGCUUGGAAGCAGUAAUGUGAUGCGUGUGCUAGUAGGCUAGCAGUAAUAUGCAGCUCCCUAAGUCUGAGCCGAAUAUUUAUAUACGAGUUGAACUUGAAGUACUAUUGUGAUAAAGUUGAUGUUGAGGCGAUGCUUUGAAUGUAAGUAGCAUAGGUGACAAGGGCAAUGCAUUGGAUGCAGCAGUAAUGCUCUGAUUGUAGUAGCAGAGGCGAUGCUCUGGAUGUAGUAGCAGAGGCGGUGCUCUGAAUGGAGCAGCAGAGGCGGUGCUCUGAAUGCAGCAGCAGAGGUGAUGCUUUGGACUGAAUAUAAGUAGCUGUACUGAUACUGAAGCAUAUAGAUGUAUACCAGCCGUUGACUUUUUAAGAUCAGCUGAGUGUAUGGUUGCUGCUACGGUUGUAGGUUCAGCUGUCUCUACCGAAGCACUGACUCAUAGGAUGACGCAUGGGAGAUGCUAAAGGUUGUGAAGCUGAAGGUCGGGACGCAUCUUCGACUGAGGUGCUGAAGCUUCAAUGCCUGCUUGAGAAAGGAGCUCAUCUGCCAUCGAUGCGUUGACCCAUAAGGGACGACUUGUUGGGAGACGGCUAACGUUUUGUAAAGCUUAGGAGGAAACGCAGCCACUGAGGCGAUGACCCAUAAGGGACUCCGCGUCGGGUGCGUCUAAACUUUGUAAAGCUGAGUAAGGAGCUCAUCUGCGAUCGAUGCAGGAGAUGACUGAAGCUUUGUAAAUCUUAGGAGGGAACGCAGCUACUGAGGCAAUGACCCAUAGGGGACUCCGCGUCAGGUGCGUCUAAACUUUGUAAAGCUAAAUAAGGAGCUCAUCUGCGAUCGAUGUGGGAGAUGGCUGAAGGUCGGUAAAGCUUUUGCAACGCUACAGCCAAGGCGAUGACCCACAGGGGACACCGCGUCGGGAGGGUUGAAACUUUGUCAAGCUACGGACAGCAUUUGGUGAGGCGGGAGAUAGACUUCUUGCAAAUAAGUCUCGAACUAUCAUAGGUUUAGUGACUUGCCUCGGAAUGACGAGGACUUAGAGUCAGGCUCGACAAUAGUGAGAAGUAAGGAAAAGACAUCUCACGAAGCGAGGGAUGAACAUCUGACAAAAUGUCGAACUAUCGGAGUUUUAUGAGCUGACCUCAGGUAGACGAGGGCUUAAAGCUAAGCUCGACGAUAGCGAAGCGAGGAAAAGACAUCUCACAAAGCCAUGAAUAAAUAUCUAACGAACUGUUGAACUAUCGGAGUCUUAGUGGCUUGCCUCGGAAUGAGGAGGACUUAGAGCCUAGCUCAACGAUAGUGAGGCGAAGCAUAGUCUCACUGAGCCAGGGAUAAGCAUCUAGCGAAGCGGGGAAUAGACAUCCCGCAUAUAACUAUCGAACUAUCGGAGUCUUAGUGGCUUGCCUCGGAAUGACGAGGACUUAGAGCUAAGCUCAACGAUAAUGAGACGAGGUAUAGUCUCGCUGAGCCCGAGAUAAGCAUCUGGCGAAGAGGGAAAUAGACAUCCAGCAUAUAACUGUCGAACUAUCGGAGUCUUAGUGGCUUGCCUCGGAAUGACGAGGACUUAGAGCCAAGCCCAACCAUAGUGAGGCGGGGAAUUCCCGCGAAUAACUCUCGAACUAUCGAAAUCUUAAAGCUGGCCUCGGAUAGAUGAGGACUUAGAGCUAAGCUCGACAAUAGUGAGGCGAGGAAAAGACAUCUCGCAAAGCCGGGGAACAUAUGUCUGGCGAAGAGUCGAGCUUUCGGAGUCUUAUAAGCUGGUCUCGGAUAGAUGAGGGCUUAAAGCUAAGCUCAACGAUAGUAAGGCGCGAGGAAAAAAUAUCUCGCGAAGCCAGGGAUGAACAUCCGAUGAACUGUUGAACUAUCGGAGUCUUAUAAGUUGGCCUCAGAUAGACGAGGGCUUAAAGCUAAGCUCGGCGAUAGUGAAGCGAGGAAAAGACAUCUCGCGAAUAAGGUCAAAAAAGGCUCCUUUUGUAAGGGCAAACACGUCUGGUGAUUUGCCUCUUCCUUUUUUCAAGGAGCAAGGACUCCGAAUUGUAGCCUCUUCAGAAUAAUGGAGUAAUGGCAACCUCCAUAUUUUUAUCUUCCAUUUUUAUGGUCUGAAGGAGAUAGCUCGAGUGAACAAAUUGAAAUGGUGGACUGAUGACCAUGAGUUUGAAGCCCUCUUCUUCUAGUCUUUUUAUUUUUAAUUCUCCAAGUCAAGUAUUUUUGCCCUUUUCCCAUGUGAUUUGGAAUAAUUGGCAGGCCAAAAUGGAGGCAAGAAAGAACACCCAGCCAAAGUGCUAGCCUCUUCAAAAAAAAAAAAAAAAAAAAAAAAAAAAACUAGAAGAACUAGAAGAACUCGAUGCCCUGGCUCAAAGCCUAGGAGGAUGGCACGCUCUCAUUCGAGGGAGGUAAUAAUUGUGUCAAACUGAAGAAAUAUGGUGUCAAUUUGCAGCUAAUUAAGAAGAAGCCGAAGUGGGAGAGUCGAAGUAAAAGGGCAGAGGGCCGAAGUCAUCCUUCCAUGAUAAUUUCAGCAAACUCACGUGCCCAGCAAGCUCAAAUGUUUUAAUGUAAUUGAAAAAGUUAUGGGCCAAGGGAAGAUAAAUCUUUGAGCCCAAUUUAUAUAUAUUUUCUUAUUGUACCCAAUAUAUAUAUAUUUUCUUAUUGUAAAUGGCAGCCCACUAUAAUAGCUUCAUUUGUUAAAAUGGUUUGGGCUCUAAAAAAGGUUUGGGCCACUAAUGGGUUGACCCGUUUUAACAUAUGAGUAGAUAUAUAUUCUGGCAGUGAAUCAAAGUAUGAAAACCAAAAAAAAAAAAAAAAGAAGAAAAAAAGAAACUAACAAAAAGAUAAUUUAUUACCUAGGCAAGCUAGUCCACCUGAAAAAAGUUGAAAAUGGGUUUCCACGCCACCAUCAAAUUCAUAUUUCCAUCAGCAUUUAAUGCUAAAAUCCGGUUGCUAAUAUCGAGACCCAUGCAUCGCCGAUCACUGUAGCUUUUCUCGAGAUGACUCAACGUUCGCCAGAGCUGGUCUGCUUCUUUUUUACUGUAAUUAGCCGAAAAACAUGAUAAAGACGGCCAUGGGAGUAGAUUUUUCUCAUUCAAAUUGAACUACACAAAUGUUUUCUCUCCCCCUGUUUAUUUGGUUACCAGCAACUAAGUGGAAAUGGUGGUCUUUGCUCUCCAAAAUCCAUUUAGUUUGAAGUGGGGGAGGUUUAUCAUUGGCAGCAUCUUCUAAAGACUGAUUUUUGCUGCCGUUUCCUUUGGUAUUUUCUCUUAUGUGUUGGGUAGAAGAACAUUUAUCUGAAGAAAUUGAUUCCUUCCAGUGGUUGAAUGCGUGCCACUUCUCUCCAUUUUCUUUUCAUUUUCGUGUGGCUGUUUUUGCUCCAUUUGUUGCUGGGUUUUCUUUGAAAGAAAUAGGUGGAUAUGGCCAGCAGAAAGGGAGAGCAAAUGGAUCAUCGUUUGACAAACCCACCAGCCAGUGUCUUCUUCAAUAAAUCCUGAUUUUUAUUGACCAUUUUGAUGAUGAACUUCCCGAACCAGUAAUUGAGAGUAGUCAUUUUGUUGUGAAGGAUUUUUCAACCCGUGUUUCCUCGGUUGCUCGCCAGAAGGUUCCCUUUUUCAAGGAAUUUUUUUCAAAUGGUUUGGUGGCCAUUUUCCUCCUUCCCUGCUUGAUUUUGUUGCUGUCUUUACUAUUUUUGGUAGAAGUAAAAUUGUUUUCAAAAAUGUUGCUGCCUUCUCUCUUUUGGUAGAAACCUGCCCGGAAAAUUUUCAACCUCCGGUGACCUUUUUGUACGUGGUAUAACGCUGUUAAUGUACCGUUUCUCACAGACGGCGCCAAUCUGUUGACCUCUAAAAAUGGCUCCAACAGGUUCUCUAGCCUCGUCCCCUCGAAAUCUGCGCGAGUAGCACCCCGUCAAGAGGCAAAGGCGGCCGGACAAGAAAAGGGGUCCAGCGAUCGUUUGCACUCCGACGAUCAAGUCAACGGCCGGACGAAGAUAGAUAUAUAGAGUUCAAUAGUAUGGAGAUGGGGAUUUGGCUAGAGAGUGUAAAACCUACCUUGAUUGUGUGAGUUGAAUCUAUAUAUAUAGAGAAAUGGAUGUGAAGCGGGCCAAACGGGUCAACGAGCCUAAGUCUGAGCCCAAUAUGAGGUGAGCAAAGUAAUAGGCACUUCGGAAGGUGCUUCGGCUGCACUUUUUAUGGCCUCGGUGGCGCCUCGGCUAGACUUGUCAGAGCCUCGACUUUGGGACCCAACACUAAUGGGCUUGGCUCGGGUCCAAUAAAAUGACCCAAUAUGGAGUAAUAAUUCAUAGGCAUAACACAUAGUAUUUUGGUGAGACUAUUCUAAACAUUUUUUCUCAAUAACAGAUUUGCAUGAUUUAAAUGUAAUAAGUGAAUUUGUUGGAUUAGUAUAAUUCAGUUUGUUCAAGAAUCUGAUUAAAUUGUUUUAUUGUAAUAGGAGCACUUUUAGAUUUUUUUUUAAAAUCUGAGUGUUUGGUACCAUUUGUGAUAACUUUGAAACUGAUCCUUCAUGUUACUGUUUCAAUCUGUGCGUAUUAUAUUACUUUUGUUUUUUCAUUCUGAGAUAAGCUUGUCUUAGAUUGCAAAAACUUUUUCUACAACUUAAAUGUUCUUUCAAAUUAAAAAUUACUUAUGUCUAUGAUAAUAGCCACCCUUUUACAUAACCUGCAAUGAAGGACAAAUUAUCACAAUUCGAUAGAAAGGGGGCUUACUCCAUCUGGAAGUAUAAAAUGAGGGUCAUAUUGGUCUAACAAAGGAUUGCUAAAGCCUUGAAUGAUUUUAAAACUUUUUCUUCUAAAUUGAAAGCUAAGCUCGAUGAAAUUCUAGAUAUGAAUGAAAUUAGAUAUAGUUCUAUUAUAUUAUACUUAUCUGAUAAUAUAGUAAGACAAGUAGAAGAUGCUAAAACUCCUGGAGUCUUGUGGACUGUAUUAGAUGCUUUGUCUCUGACUAAGACAUUGCCUAAUAAGAUCUACCUCUUAGAAAAAUUCUUUAGUUUAAAAAUGGAACCUGGGAAAGAUUUAGAAGCUAAUUUCAGUGAUUUUAGCAUCCUAGUUAAGAGUCUUGCCCACAAUAAUAAAAAAUUUGAGAAUCAGGACCUUGAAGUAGAUUCUUCUUAAUUCAUUCCCUGAUUCCUAUAAGGAUAUUAAGAAUGCAAUAAAAUACUCAAGACAUGCACUAACAUAACCAAUUGUCACUAAUGUUCUAAGAUCUCAGGAAUUGGAGGUCAAGAGAGAAUUUAGAGCAAAUUCAAGAGAUGAGAGUACGUUUAUAAGAGGAAGAACUGAGAAGAAGGAAAAUAACUUCAACAACAGAAGAUCCAAAUAAAAAUCUAAAACUAGAUUAAACUCAAGAGAUAUAAGCAAUAAGAAAUGUUACCAUUGUAGAAAGUUAGGUAACUUUAAAAGAGAUUGCUUUAAAAUAGAUAAAAGCAAUAAAAAUUGAAUAAUUCUGUCAUUGGUCCUGAGUUAGAUAGCCUAUUUGUAAUGAUGGUCUUCAAUGAAGAAGUCGAUAAGGACUAGAUCUUGGAUUCAGGGUGUACAUUCCACAUGUGUCCUAACAGGUCUUGGUUUAAUAACUAUACGAAAAUUGAAUCAUAGAAAGUGUAUAUGGGUGAUAUUAACUCUCAAAUUGUCCUUGGUAUAGGUGAUAUUGCCAUCAAAAUGUAUGAUGGUACUGUCACGCAACUGAAAAAUGUGAGAUAUAUCCCAAACCUAAAAAUAAAUUUCAUCUCAUUGAGAAUUCUUGAAGAUGAGGGACAUUCUUUCAAGUUUGAAAGUAACACUUUGAAAAAUAUGAAGGGAUCUUUGGUUAUCUUCAAGGGACCAAAGUGAAAUGUAUUGUACUAUCUUAUGAGAGAGACUGUCACUCCUCAAGAUGCUAAAUCUUUGAGCAUAACUGAAAACAAAUAAGAACUAUGGCAUAAUAAAAUGGUAAAUAUAGGAAAUAAGGGUUUGAAGUAUCUAAGUAACAAAAAAUUACUUGGGAAAGAUAUAUUGAGCACCUUGAAUUUUGUGAAACAUUUGUGUUGGGUAAAUCUUUGAGACUGGGUCACACACCAUAUCUAGGCCCCUAGACUAUGUCUAAUUGGAUUUAUGGGGACCUGAGAAUCACGUUAUCUUUGGAGAAAAUAAGUACUUCAUAGUUGAUGACUACUCAACAAAGGUAUAGACUUAUCCAUUAAAGACCAAAUCUAAGACAUUUCAAAAAUUCAUAACUUGGUCAAAGAUGGUUGAGAAUCAACUUGAUAAGAAGUUAAAAGCUCUAAGAACUGAUAAUGGUUUGAAAUUUUGUAAUGCUAAGUGUGAUAACUUCUAUAAACAAAAGGGAAUUGUAAGCCACAAAACUGUUAAGCACACACCUCAAUAUAAUGGGGUAACUAGGAAAAUGAACAGAAUUCUGAUGAACAAAGUUAGGUAUAUGCUAAUUAAUUAUAAGUUUUUUGGCCGAGGCUGUGACUAUAGCUAUUUUUCUUAUAAAUCGAUCUCCAUGCAGUUCUGUUGGGUUUAAGACUCCAAAUGAACUUUGGACGCGAAAGCUUCCAAACCUUUUCUCACAUUAGGGUGUUUGGAUGUACAGCAGUGCACAUUAGAUUGAGGGAAAGUUGGAUCCUAGAACAACUAAGUGUGUUAUUGUAACGCCUCGACCCCUUGUGGACCGGAACGCUACUUACUUUACUUAACUAACCGAUGGUUUAGUCAUAGAAGAAUAUGUUUUAGCGGAAGCUUAAUUUUUUUACAAUGAUAAUUUUAACAACAUUUCGAAUACUUUAAAUAAAAUACUGAAUAAAAAAAUAACGAAACGUAAUUUAUUUGAAGAAAGCAUAACUUGUUCUCGCGUUCAGCGUUAUUCAAAUACUUUAAAGAAAUAUCAUUGAAAACGUUCACAAAAAUAAAUCUAAAUAACUUGUUCACCGGGUUUUCCAUGAGCUCGUUGCACCACUCUCCAUCUUUUCCAUCAUUCAGGCCCCAACGUAGAAUCAUAUCAAUUUGUAGAGAAGGGGUUAAACCUGUGAGUUAAAAAAACUCAAUAGAUAUCAUUGGUGUAUUCGUGAUCAAGCAAUACAUUAAAGCUGUAACUUUAGAAAUCUUUUCAUAGUAGGAUUUUCGGUAGAAUCUCAAACACGUAGAAUCAUGACUUAACACGAUGCCUCGACCAGAAGUACGUGCCGUACCCAGAGGUACCAUUAGACAUGGAGGUGUACGCCAUACCGGAGUUACCAUUAGACAUACAAACAUUAACAUAAAUCUUCAUUUGCUAGAAACUUAUAAGUUAACACGAAUUGACACUUUGCACCUCUACCUACCUUGAUUGAUUUCUUGAACCUUGUUGAAAAAUGCACUCCUUUGAUGUUUAAAAAAAAACACUCCGUUGAGAAUUGAUGCUUGGAAAACACUUCUUAAUAGCACCAAAACUUCUAGGAAAAACUAAUUUUCCUUCCUCUCUUUUCUUUUUUUUCUAAACUUGAAAACUCUCUCUUUAAUGCUUAGAAGAUUGUCUUGGUGUAAAAAAUGUGUAUGCAUUGGGGCCUAUUUAUAGGUGAAAAUCUCACAAUUUAAGGGCAAGUGAAGGGCCUAAUACUCAUUAAUACGGGUGCUAUUUAUGUGGGAGCUAUAGAUUUAAGAAGGUGCUAGAAAAUCGUGUAGGAAUUUGACUUUUCAUAUUCCGCGUACUUCGGUUGAUACUGUACAGCCUCUAGUAUUUCUAUCAUAACUUCUUCUCCCGAUUUCCGAUUGAGGUAAGCGUUGGAAAGCUAACUCAAAGAGCUACAACUUUUCUUUAGAUAUCAUUUUCCAAAUCGAAUGUUUUCUAUGUCGUGAAUGGGUCUCAAAUGAGACUAAAAAUCUGAAGUAUACUUUAACCAUCCAAUAUUCAUGUCUUAGUGUCACUUGGGGUUGGCAAUGGGUUGAGGCGAGCCGGCUUGGCCCGCGCGAGCCGAGCUCGGGCUUGGCUCGUUGAAAUUGGGUGAGCUCGGCUCGUGGGCUCGCCUAUUUUUUUUUUUUUUAUAAAUAAAGAAUAGAGUUUAAAAAUAAAAAGUGUUAAAAAAUACAAAUAAUUUAACGAAAACAAGUUUUUAUUUUUUUAAUUUAUAUUAUAUUAUAAUUUGUAAUACUUUUUAUAAAAUAUAAAUUAUUUAUAUAAUGAAAACGAAUUAUUUUUUGAAAUACAUUUACAAAAAAUAUAUUUUUUUGAUUUUUUUUUAAAGUUAAUAAAAUGUAAACCCUUCUCCUUUAUUCGGGUUUAGGAUCGGUUACAUCAUUUUAAGUAGGCGGAGUUAAAAAUUGUACACGAACAACUUGUUGUAACGUGUACAAUUUUUUUAAAAAAAAUUAAAUUUAACAAUUAAAAAAUAAAAAAUUUUGAUUAAUAUAAUUAAAUCAAAUAUCACUUACCUGACGACAUGCAAUUUCAGCGUAUUUAUCUUGUAGUCGAAAAUGAGCGUCCUGCUAAUCCUUUACACACAUUAACGCUUCCAAAAUAUCUUCUUUCAGUCGGCUCCUGACAUCGGUCAAAACCCUUUUACCUGCACUAAAAGUAGACUCCGAAGUAACAGUGCUAACCGGAGGUGUCAAUAGAUCUUUCGCAAUUGCAGAAACAAUUGGCCAACGACUUUCAUACUUUCACCAAAAUUCAAUUACUUCUUCUGAAGUUUUUUUAAUUGUUCUGUCUGUUGGCAUAUUAUGAUUGAAAUAAUCAAUUAAUUCUGCAGGCAUCACAUUUUGAGUUUCGGCGAUGUUUGAUGAGAUGCAGAUGUAGACGACAUGGCACCAGAUGAACACAUUGCAGUUGCAUCAUAUCUAAAUGUAUUAAUGCCCUUCAUUAUUUCAGCAGCAUCUUCUUCAGUUUCAGCAGAAGGAGUAGGUGCAGCAGAGGGUACCCGAUUAACAUUCGCACUCAUUCAUUCCGCAUAUAAAUCAUACAUUCCACAUAAUAUUUGCUCUAAAUUCUUAUAGGUGAUAGGUGUAUCAAGUAUUAAAGUUUCAUUGAUUUGAUCAAUUACGUAUUUAGUUCUCGAAAUAUUAUAUCGGGGGUCCAUUGCGUAUGCUAAAGGAAAUAACAUAGGUAGUUCUUCCCAAUAUUUUCUAAACUUUAAUUCCAUAGCAAUUAAAAUUUCACUAAAAGCAAGAUCAUUUUUAUAUUUAUGGAAUGUUCUUGCAAUUAUAUAAAGACGUUCAAACACCAUACAGCUUGUGUGAUAAUAAAUGCCGGAUAAAAUUUUUGUAGUCUCAUAAAAAGAUGUCAAAAAUCGUUUAACUUUCAAAGCUAAAAUCCAAUUGGAUUCAUUUAACAUACCAUCGUCAUCACUUCUAACAUGUCUAUUGUUAUAAAAAUCAGUUAUUAAAAUUUCGAAAUCUUCACAUGAUUUUAAUAGCAAGUAUAUAGAGUUCCAUCUAUGACCUACGUUGCUAACAAAGGUUUUAGCAGUCAUCACCCCUAGUUCGGCACAAAAAUCUUCAAAUACUUGUUUUCUACUAGGAGAGAUCGUAAUAUAUACUAAUGCAUUCCUAAUCCUUUGAAGUUCAUCAUUUAUAUGUUUUAAAUCAUGUUGCACAAUUAAAUUCAAGAUAUGACACACACAACGAAUAUGAAACAAAUACCCACCAAAAUCAGGUUGAAGUGUCCUACACAAUUUAUCAACGAUUACCUUAUUAACACUAGCAUUAUCAAAAGUAAAAGAUCGAAUUUUACUCUCAGAAUGAUAUUUUCUAACAAUACUGAUAAUAGCAUUAUAUAUAUUAUUAACAUUGUGAGGAAAUUCAAUAAUUCUAAAAGCAAUAAUUUUCUUAUGCAUGCACCAAAGUGGGUCUAUAUAGUGUGCAGUUGCAGCUAUAUAUGUUCUUUUAUUAACUUCUUCCCAUAAAUCAGAAGUUAAGGAUAUAACACCUCCAUAUUGUUGCAAAUUCAUAAUUAAUUGUUAGUUUAAAUUAUUGAAAUAAUUUAUUGUAUCGGCACGAAGAGUGUUUCGACUUACCGCAACGUACCUCAAUUGUAGAUAUACUUUCACGAACGAGAUGAAGUGUUGGUUGUCUGCAAUAGCUAGAGGCAACUCAGUGGCGGCAACAAAUUUCACCAUUCCAGUUUGAAACUCGUCCUCCGAAUACACCCACGUGGAUAGGGGUGAAGUUGUAGAACCGGCGCCUGGACUGCCAAAUUGUAAUUGUGUUUGACCAGCUGGAAGAAGUCCAUGUCUGGCUACACAUGAUUUGUAGUGGCGGUUGAGAUGAGUGGUACCGGUUCCUUUUUGCCAUGCCAAUCUUUGUUGGCAGUAUUUACAUACUGCUUUAGAUUCUGCAAGGCCAUCAACGACUUUUUCCGUUGAAAUCAAUUUAAAGUGAUCCCAACAUUUUGCUUGUUUUUUGGCCUUUCGCUUUUCCCUUGCAUUUGGGAUAUUUAAUUGCUGAUCUUCAUCUUCAUGUUCCGUUUUGAAAAUGUUAAUAUCAUCCAAAUCAAUUGGAGUGUGGCUUCCCUGACCGUGAAUGUGAACAUUUUCAGGUAUCGGUAUGUCAUUUAGACCGGCAAAUUCAUUUGGAAAUUGACUUUGCGACGCCCUAGGUGAUUCUCCAUGAUGUGGCAGUGGCUCACAUCCUGUAUGAAUCAAGCUCUCAAUAAAUGAACGUUGAUCCAUUUCUGUGAUUGUUUAUGAUGAAAUCUUGACUAGAUCAAUAUAAAUGUAGUGAGAUUGUGAGAAUUGAGAAUUGGAUGAAUUGAAAUUGUAACUAAUAAACUGUAAAAAUUGAAUUAAUAUUGUAUAUUUUGCAGCACAAGAGAGUAAAAACUCGAUAAUUGAUAUAAUAAAAGAGAGUUGAGAGGGUUGUAAUCUUGGAAGAGCAAUUGAUAUGAAAAAAAAUCUUUUGGGGAAUGGGGUAUUUAUAGUAAAAAAGGGAGGGGGAAAAUAAAUAAAAAAUUAAAAUUCAGUGACCAAACAGUCACUGAAUAAAAGUUCAGUGACCGUUCUGGUCACUGAAUGACCAUAACGAUCACAGAAAAGUGACCAAAACGGUCACUUUUGUGAUCGUUUUGGUCACUAGCUUGACGAGUUCGUCGUGGGCUCGCCCACGAGCAGCUCGUCUAAAUGGCGAGCCCAGCGGGCUCGGCUCACCUCCCGACGAGGCCCGCUUAGCUCGUGCUCGGGCUCAUGAUUUCACGAGCUCGAGCCGCCCACGAGCCUCUUUUCCAUGAGCCGACGAGCCACUAGCCGGCUCAGCCCAAUUGACAUCCCUAGUGUCACUAUGGUAUUUAAAAUUAUUUGGGGUUCUACAUCCCCCACACCUUAAUUAAAAUUUCGCCCUCGAAAUUUACCUUCUGAUUGGGCAAAUAGUAUUGGAUACUUGUUUUUGGCUUCCUCUUCUCCUUCCCAAGUGGCCUCUUCUAUUUCAUGAUUAUUCCAUUGCAUUUUGACCAAUUGAAUUUAUUUGUUCCUUAGUUUAUGCACCUUUCUAUCCAAUAUCCUAAUCGGUACCUCUUCAUAGGAUAAGUCCUUUUGUACUUCCAUGGACUGAUUGUUCACUACAUGAUUAGGAUCAUGCACGUAUUCUUGAUCAUUGAUACAUGGAACACGUUGUCCACUGCCGAUAACCCAAGUGGGAGAGCUAACCGAUAGGCUACAUUUCUGACCCUAUCAAGUAUCUCGAAUGGUCCGAUAUAGCGGGGUCGUAGCUUUCCUUUCUUGUCAAACCUAAAUACACCUUUCAUCAGUGUCACUUUCAGAAACAUUUUUUCUCUAACUUUGAAUUCUAAAUCCUUCCUUCUUGUAUCCGCAUAGCUCUUUUGUCGAUUCUGUGCUGCCUUUAUAUUUGCACGGAUCUUAUUAAUUGCCUCAACUAUCCUUUCAACUAUUUUUGGUCCCAAAACUCUCUUCUCCCCGACUUCAUCCCAAUGAACAGGGGACCUACAUCUUCUACCAUAGAGAGCCUCGUACGGGGCCAUCCCGAUAGUUGUUUGGAAGCUGUUAUUGUAUGUGAAUUCUACUAGGGGUAUGUAUGACUCCCAACUGCCCCCUAGAUCCAAAACACAUGCUCUCAACAUGUCUUCCAAAGUUUGGAUGGUCCUUUCAGACCGACCAUCGGACUGAGAGUGAUAUGAUGUACUAAAGUUCAGCUUCGUUUCCAUAGCUCCUUGUAGAUUUUUCCAAAAUUUGGACGUGAACCUUGGGUCUCUGUCAGACACAAUGGACACAGGUACGCAGUGUAAUCUCACAACCUCCUUAAUGUACAACUGUGCCAAUUGGUUUAAACUGAAUGUCAUUUUCACUGGAAGAAAAUGAGCUGACUUUAUUAAUCGAUCCACUAUUACCUAUACAACGUUGUUUCCUCUUGUUGACUUCAGGAAUCCAACCACAAAGUCCAUUGUGUUAUUUUCUCAUUUCCAUUCGGGUAUGUCCAGUGGAUUUAACAAUCCAACCGGUCUUUGGUGUUCUACCUUAACCUGUUGACAUAUCAUGCACUUUCCACGUACAACCCUAUACUUCUUUUCAUAUUUCUCCACCAAAAUGUAUCUCGGAGGUUUCGAUACAUUUUCGUACCACCGGGAUGUGCGGUGUAUGAGGUGGAAUGGGCCUCUUUCAAUAUCUCGUUUCUCAAGCCCUUAAACAUCAGUGUCUGAUCCGAACCUAUGCCAAAAUCCUUUCUCUUAUCAGUACCAAUUUCAUUCUUGAUCUUCAACAAGAAUGAGUCAUUACCUUGUGUCUCUAUAAUUCGAUCUCUAAGAGUAGGUCGAAUUAUCAAAGCUCCUAGACGAGCAGUGACUUGUCUUGGUAUGGUAACCACUUCGAUCUGCAACUUUUUCAAGUCCUUGACUAACUCCAUUUGAAAAGUGAGUAGUGACGCCAACCGUCCCGUUGAUUUUCUACUUAAGGGGUCGGCCACAACAUUAGCCUUACCUGGAUGGUAAUGGAUAGUGCAAUCGUAAUCAUUCACCAAUUCUAACCAUCGCAUAUUCAAUUCCUUCUGUGUGAAUAAAUAUUUGAGACUCUUGUGAUCUGUUUAGAUAUCGUACUUCCCUCCAUACAAGUAGUGUCGCCAUAUCUUCAAGGCGUGUACUACCGCCGCAAGUUCUAAAUCAUACGUCGGGUAGUUCUGCUCAUGUUUCUUCAAUUGUCUUGAUGCAUAGGCUAUCACUUUUCCAUUCUGCAUCAACACACAUCAGUUGAUCUAACAGAUCCUUGAUUCUCGGGAGUGGGUACUUAUUCUUGAUAGUUAAUCGAUUUAACUCCUUAUAAUCGAUGCACAUCCUCAUGCUUCCAUCCUUUUUCUUCACGAACAAUACCGGCGUACCCCAUGGAGAUACACUUGGCCAUAUAAAGCUCAUAUCUAGGAGUUCUUGCAACUACUUCUUUAACUCUUGUAGUUCCUUCGGGGUCAUUCGGUAUGGGGCUUUUGACACUGGUGUCGCUCCGAGAAUUAGGUCUAUGGUAAAUCCCACUUGCCUAUCUGGUGGAAUACCAGAUAGAUCUUCUGGAAACACAUCUACGAAUUCCUAUACUAUUGGUACGUUUUCAACCUUUAUCGUCUCCUGUUUUCCUCCUGAGAUAUUUACUAAAUAUCCUUGACAUGUUUCUUUUCUCAACAUCUUCUCAGCUUGCAAAGCCAAUACUAGUCGAAUAAGGGGUUUCGUCUUCAUUCCAAGGAACGAAAAUGGUUCGUCUCCUGGUUUCUGAAAUGAUACCUCCCUUUUCUUACAUCGGAUGGUGGCGUAAUUACAACCCAACCAAUCCAUGCCUUGUAUUACAUCAAAAUCCUUCAUUUCUAUCAUGUAUAGGUUCGCUUCCAUUGGUUUUCUCUCAACUUCAAUACUUACUAAUUUGGCUAUUCUAUCAGUACUCAAAGGGUUGCCUGAAGGAAUGCUAACCUCUAAUGUACCUUCCGACUUAUCAUAAGUAAUACUAGAUUUAGCCAUAAAAGUUGUCGAUACAAAGGAGUGUGUGGCUCCUGAAUCAAACAAUACAUAAGUAGGCGUAUUGGCUAUCAAUAAAGUACCUGCUAUGACGUUCGAGUUUUCCUCUGCAUCUUUCUGAGUUAUUGCAAAAACUCGUGCUCUCCCUUUCUGGUUCUGGUCAUUAUUAUCAUCCUUCUUCGGGGUAAAUGUGGGGUAAUCCUUAAAAAUAUGCCCUGGCUUGCCACAUUUGAAAUAGACAUUAUUCCUUUGCAAACACACGCCAUGAUGCGUUUUUCCACACUUAGGACAUAGCUCUAUAACUGGCACAAUGCUCUUGUUGGCAUUGACUCCACCAUUAGCUUUCUUGUUCUGCCACUUGCCCUUUCCCUUGUCUUGGCCAUUCCAUUUGGUUUUACCCAUACUGCCAUUGUCCGGUUGAUUGAAUAGUUGACUAUAUUGCUCGGCGCUAGUCUUCUGGUACCAGAUAGCAUGAGCUCUUUCCAGCAUUUCACGGUAUGAGGUGAAACGAUGGGACAUAAGUAUUACGCUUAUAUCUGGGUUCAACCCUUGUUCAAACCUCCUGGCUUUCUUGCCCUCCAUCUCCACUAGAUGUGGAGCAUACCUUGAAAGUUGGUCAAACUUCCUUUCAUACUCAGUCAGGGACAUAGUCCUUCGCUUGAGUUGGAUAAAUUCACUUUCUUUGUGAUACCUCAAAGACUAUGGGAAGUACUUGUCCAUUACUUCUUCUUUAAAUCGUUCCCAAGUCAAUUUCGCUUGUUGCUCUGGGGUCCUCAUCCUUGACAUCGAGUCCCACCAGUGGCUUGCAUCACCGGAGAACAUAAACUCAGCACACUGGACCUUCUGGGCGUCCGUGCACCCUAUUAAUCGAAAAAUUCUCUCCAACUUGCGAAGCUAGUCCUCGGCUGCAAGUGGAUUAGCUGCUCCAUUGAAGGUAGGGGGCUUGUGUCUUCUAAAUUGCUCGACCACUGAAGCAUGGCUUGGAGGAGCAUCAGGAGCUAGUGGUAAGGGUUGCGCCUAGUUCGGGUUUUGCUUGCUAAGGUCUUGGACUGCUUGGAGGAGAUCUCUUAUCAAGUUGGUUUGGUUUGCGCGGGCCAUUUUCCUUUAGACAAAACGUAUGGUUCUUAUUAGUUUCAUACUUCGAAUUCUAACAAAGAAGAUAAAGUUUUAUUUCUUGACAUAAAGGAAGUUGUUACAAGGAUUUAAAUCUAAUCCCUAUAAGCUCUACGGAUCUUCUUUGGUGGAGCCUCAUCUCCAGAUAAGUCUUUCGCCUCAGGUCCGGAUUCUAUGUCCAUCUCAACCUGUGGCUCGGGCUCAAGAUCAUUCCCUUUUUCAAGCUCUUCUUCUUCAUCAAGUUCAAUUACUAUCUUCGGUUGAGGUUCUAAGUUUUCCCUCCAUAGGUCUAGGAGUGAUUGACAAUACACUUCAAAUUCAAAUAUAUUUGGGUGCUCCUCUAUCAUUACAUCCCUAACCGUGACUCCCAUAUCUCCCCAUUGAGGUGGAAGGGAGUGUAUGAGGUUAUUUAUAGCCUCAAUAUGCGUUAUUUCCAUUCCAGCGUUCACCGCUAUCAUGCAUCUCUCAUAGACAUCAUGUAUAUGUUUGUCAAGUGGACGGAGCAGAUCAGUCACGUAAUUCUCAUAGGACUGAAUGGCGAUUCUAUGGUUCAAUGCUUCUCUAUAUGCCCUAGCCAUUCUACGAGUCAUAUCUGUUGCAUUUUCACAUUUCAUACACCCUUUUUUCUUUUUUUCUUUACUCUUGGAAAAAUGGCUACUUUUACAUAACAUUCUACCUAUAAAUUCUAUCUAUUGGUAAGUUCAAAGCUUGUCUGUCUUUGCUGAAUAUUGAUAAAGGGUAAUUUUUUGCAGAUACGUGGGCGAUGAUGUAGGGUAAACUACCAUCACGUGCAAUGUAGCAAUUAGAGAGAGUGACUGGUUAGAGAAACACAAGGUAAAGAUUGUAAAAUGUGUUCUCUAAACCCGUUUUCAAAAGUGGAAAAACAUUUUUCCUGAGUAUAACCACUUGGCAUAAAUCUGUUGGCUGAUUUACGGUGACUUGGAUCUAAGUUUCUUGUGGUUGAUCGGGAUCUAACUGCUGUAGUUUAAAGGCAUAUUUUUGACCCUUGAGUUGGCCCGACUGAUUGAUGUUCAUUCAUUCAUUCAUUCUUUCAACCUUUCACUUUUCUCUCUCUAAAUCUUGCGUAACCUCUCCUGUUCAAGGUCGGUGGUUUUCACUGUAAAUCAGAUCUAGUUUCUGGUUUUCUGGUGUAGUGUAUAGUCAGAUUUUGGUUGUGACUAUGUAUAGUUAUCAUUUGCAGAAGGUUUUCAAUGUUCUUUUAGUUGAUUAAACUGUAUAGAAUUUUGGCUACAUUUGGUUACGGUCUUGAGUCAAUUAGGGGUUGUUUUUCUUAAGAUCUAUAUAAAUCUGUGACAAUGUCUUGGGUUUGAUUGUUGUGCUCUAAUCUUGAACUCUCUCUUAAGCAGUUCUUUGCACAUAGUGACGGGCUAUUUAGCUCCGAGCCCCCAGAUUAGGCGUUGUCAAAUUGGGUGACCAUUUCUUCAGUUGAUAUUACCAUUUAUGUGAGUUUGUGUUUCGGUGAUUUACUUAUUACCUAUUUUAGUGCAUGAAAUCCUAACAAGCAACAAUGAAUAUUUAUGGUCAGAAUUUUUCUGUGCAAAUUUGCCUUAAAAAAUUUGCGUUGGUAACUCUUCUGGUUGCUUUGAUUGGCACCAGCGGAAGUGGGAAUCAGAGCAAAAAGAAGUAGCAACAACCACAGUACCACGUACUGCAGAACAGAAUAGAUUCACAGCCACCCAAACUUUUCCAAUGUCAUUCGGUUUGAUAAACGGUACUACCACUGCCCUUGCACUAACAUUUGUUCCCUUCAACAAUCCGUCCACUUGCCAAGUCCCAUUAUUUUGUCUCCCAAGCUCUCAAUUGAUUUCGAAUAGUGUGAUUUUUUCAUCGGAAAAUCACCAAAAUCAUGUUUAAAAUGGAUGAAAAAUCACCAAUAUCAUUUUCACUCGUGAUUUUGCCAACCAGGCCUUCUGAAGAAAAUGAUGGUCUGUUCAAUACAAUAUUUGGUUCUCAGUCAUAGUCAUUGUUGAACCCUGAAAUUUCGAAAGAAUGGAAUGCUUUGAUUUGGAUACUGGAAUUGGAGAGAUUGAAGAAGAAUUGCUGUAAUAAUUUUAGAGAGAAAUCCAUUUGUGUGGUUAAUGGUUUUGAUAUAAACAAUUAUUGUAACAAUUUUAGAGAGAAAAGGAGAAUUAGAGAGUGCAAAGUGAAAAAUAAAAAUGGAAUAUAGUGCAAGGAAAUUGCAAACGUUCAUAUUGGUUAUAUAAAAUUGGUGAGGGUAUAAUGGGAAUGGAAUUGGGGACACAUCGAUAUAUGGUCACGGUGGUGAUGACAGCGACGGUGGUAGAGAGAGAAAAGAGGAGAGGGAACUAAUUUUUUUUAAAUUUUGAUUUUCUUAAUUUUGAUUUAAUUUAUUUAUACUUUUUAAAAAAAAUUCGAGACUAUGAUUACAACUUUCCCUACUACGAUAAAGGAGGCAAUAUGUCAAUUACUGUUCAAUCAGGACGUAUUUUAUGUUUUCCUAUUUUACCCUUCAAUAUCUCAUAAUAUCCCAUUUCACUUCUGAAACGUGGUCUAAUGGUCUUCUCUAUUUCUGCUUUUUUCCCAGGUUCAAGCCCAUUUUAGACUGUAGCAGAUUUGUCAACCGGAAUUAUUGACUUCCCUAUCUUACAAAGGGGCCCACUAAUGAUAUUAUUGACUUUCCUAUCUCACAAAGGGGUCCACUAAUGGUCAGAAAAUCCUUUUCUUUUGGUAAAGAAUCUAUCUCUCCUCGCUACAUGAAGAGAUCGUUUGGCACCUUUUUUUUCUUUUUUUUAUUUAGUACCAUCACUUUUUGAACCAUCAUUUCCAUUUUCUCAUGUAACUUCAAUUUCUUUCUUUCUUGUUUUUUUGUUUUUAUUUUUUUAUUUUUACCUUAUAAGAGUGAAUAUGCUUUUUACUAUUCAUUUCUGUCCGCUCGUGUUCACACUUAACGAGUUAUUUUCUGGAAUUUGUUUCUUAGGAAGGUCAUUCGGUUUGAAUUGGAAGAAAACCGCACAACACGGAGACCACGAUAAAUGUUACUCACUACAUCUCUGCGUGAAUACCAUUUCAGCUUCUUAUUUAGCUAAUUUUCAUCAUUUAUGAACAAUUUAUUAUGUGAUUUUAAUGUUAUGUCUAGGUCAUUUUGUUGAGAGUGGUUAAAGUGAUCUUCAUCUAUUGUAUUGCAUUUUCUUAACAUUAUGAUCUAUCAGGUAAUAUUUUUCUACUUUUUUUCCCAAUAAAUUUUCUUCCUCGUUCAAUGGGUACAUACUAAUAUUUUGGUACAUAGCACAAUUAUGAAUUGCCAAAUGUUUGUAAACUUAGAAAGAUUAGUAUCAUCCCCAUUAAUUUCUUCCUUGGGAAAAAAAUUGGUUAGCAAGCACUUUUUAGUUGAAUCUUACUAGAAUAUUAUCCUUAUUAAAUUUCACUAA